rnacentral:rRNA from 1 species
AUUGAACGCUGGCGGCAGGUCUAACACAUGCAAGUCGAGCGGAUGAAGGGAGCUUGCUCCUGGAUUCAGCGGCGGACGGGUGAGUAAUGCCUAGGAAUCUGCCUGGUAGUGGGGGAUAACGUCCGGAGACGGGCGCUAAUACCGCAUACGUCCUGAGGGAGAAAGUGGGGGAUCUUCGGACCUCACGCUAUCAGAUGAGCCUAGGUCGGAUUAGCUAGUUGGUGGGGUAAAGGCCUACCAAGGCGACGAUCCGUAACUGGUCUGAGAGGAUGAUCAGUCACACUGGAACUGAGACACGGUCCAGACUCCUACGGGAGGCAGCAGUGGGGAAUAUUGGACAAUGGGCGAAAGCCUGAUCCAGCCAUGCCGCGUGUGUGAAGAAGGUCUUCGGAUUGUAAAGCACUUUAAGUUGGGAGGAAGGGCAGUAAGUUAAUACCUUGCUGUUUUGACGUUACCAACAGAAUAAGCACCGGCUAACUUCGUG